rnacentral:lncRNA from 13 species
AUUUUUAAACUUUAUUGUAAAAUAAAGUGAAAAUGGUACGUUGUAUAGUGAAAUCGUGUAAAAAUUGCAACGAAACGUGCUUGCCGGCGCAAGUAAGCUUUUUUCCGAUUUUCCGGAAAAAGCAGUAAUGCAUGAAGGCUGAAUUCAGAGAAUCGGAGAGAGUUUUAUGCCGAAAAAUAUUAAGAAUGUGACAAUGAAAGUAAUAUGGACUUCAAAGUCAUAGCCGAAGAUUUUCCGCUUUCCGUCAUCCACGAAAAUGUACAUGCAGUCUUCCGAGUUACUCGUCAGCCCUGAUGAUCCAUCGAAUAUACAGGAAUGUAUGAUAGAUGUAGAAUCACCAAGGUCGAUUUAGAAGUAAUCGAAGGCUGGAGGAAACAUAUGCAAUGUGUCGAACGCCACCAAAAACAAGAAAAAAA